AUGACCACCCCAUGCACAAUUCUCCAACUGGUUAAUGGCGAGGUAACAGGGUGCAUCACAGGAGUUAACUUAGAGUUAGGCAUUGUCCUUAAGCAUCAUGGACUCAAUGGACAUGAGUCUGAGCAAACUCUGGGAGAUAGUGAAGGACAGGGAAGCCUGGUGUGCUGCAGUUCAAGGGGUCACAGAGAGUCAGACUUGACCAAGCCACUGAACAAUAUUAGGCUCCAGUAGACCUGGAGGCUCGGUACUCUGGUCAUGAAGUAGUGAACUAGUUAGCAUCUUCCACCUGGAGGUUUUAGCAUCUGUAAAACUACUCAGGAAAUGUACUCAGCUGCUACCAUCUAGGCACUUAUCAGAGGAGCUAAAGCAGAGGAUAUGGGUGAGGGAGUCUGUCCCUGGGAAGGCAGCAUUUGGUUUUGCUUGGGUACACAUUAUGCUACAGGUGUGCAAUAUCAAGAGUCACAAUGUUUAAAGGUAUACUCCAUUUAUAGUUGUAAAAUAUUGGCUAUAUUCCCCGUGUCUUGUAGCUUAUUUUACAUAAUAGUUUGUACCUCUUAAUCUCCUACCCUAUAAUGCGCCCCCCUCUUCUCACUGGUAACCACUAAUUUAUUCUCUAGAUCUGUGAGUCUGCUUCUCUUUUGUUAUAUUCAGUAGCUCCUCAUAUUUUUUAGAUUCCAUUACAAGUGAUAUCAUGCAGUAUUUGUCCUUGUCGAACUGACUAAUUUCAUUUAGCAUAUGCAGGGUGUUUUGUUACCCAGGCUUUUAAAAGCUAGGACUCAAAGAAGCAAUGUCGUGGAGGCAAGCUGAAUAUGUAUUUUUUCCUCUGGUCAAAACUAGGUAAAUCUUUAAGUCUUUGUGUGUGGCAGCUGGAUCUGCGCUUUUUUCCAUUCUAUUCAACUAACCUAAAGUAGUUGUCAGGGAGUGAAAGUUGUUCCUUGCUGGCACGUUGACAGGAGCUCCCAAAACACUGACACCCUUCCUUUGUAGCCACUUAGGUGAGUCCUGUCCAUAGCACAAGGGUGCUUAGUCCUCUGCGCCAUCCUGGGAGCCCAGGUCGAGUAUGGGGGGGCGCCCAGGUCGAGUAUGGUGGGCGCCCAGGUCGAGUCGGGAGGAGCUGGGGGCGUGGAGGGCGUGGUUGGGGCGGAGCGCGGGGCGUAGAGGGCGUGACCUGAGUGUGGUGUGGGUGUAGUGGGCGUGGCCAGGGCGGAGCGCGGGACGUAGAAGACCUGGCCCGGGCGGGGCGAGCCGCAGUCUGAGUGCUCCCUGGAGCCUGCAGCAUCUUACUCCGUAGAGGGUCGCCGUGAAGAUUUCGAGGAGCCCAAGCCGUCGGCUGCCUCAGCAUAAGCCCAGGCCGCCGCCGCAGCUCGAGUCCAGGUUCCAGUGUCCUCCUGUGGAUGGUUGUGAUUUUGGUGCUCUUGCAGGAGGAGAGUGCAAGUCCUACUCAGCCAUCUUGAACUGGAAGUCUACUCCUAAGAAUUGUAUUCUUUUUGUUGCAAUGUCCAAAUCCCUGCAUCUGUAUCCUCGAAAUCAGUGAUCACUCCCAGUGAAGCUGGAAGCCAGGACUCAGGAGACUUGGGACAAUUAACAUGGCCUUCAUACUGGGACUGAUGCUGUUGGCUUCCCUCAUUCUUUGGCAUCCAGGUUUGGAGAGGAACCACACCACUGGCUUUCCUGGACCUCCAACUUGUAGACAGCAGAGCAGCUCUGGGACUUCUCAGCUUCCAACAUCAUGAUUCUUUGUUGACGUGUUUUUCCUUCAGGGCUUUAAAUCAACCCACUGGAGACACUGUCUCCUGGUUCAAACUUGGGAAAGGAGUAUGUCAAGGCUGUAUAUUGUAUUCUGCGUAUAAGUUAAAUAAGCAGGGUGACAUUUGAAAUGCUGGGCUGGAUGAAGCACAAGCUGGAAUCAAGAUUGC